GACGAAGGGGGCUAGCGUUGCUCGGAAUUACUGGGCGUAAAGGGUGCGUAGGCGGGUCUUUAAGUCAGGGGUGAAAUCCUGGAGCUCAACUCCAGAACUGCCUUUGAUACUGAAGAUCUUGAGUUCGGGAGAGGUGAGUGGAACUGCGAGUGUAGAGGUGAAAUUCGUAGAUAUUCGGAAGAACACCAGUGGCGAAGGCGGCUCACUGGCCCGGUACUGACGCUGAGGCACGAAAGCGUGGGGAGCAAACAGG
rnacentral:rRNA from 1 species